UGGGGAAUUUUGGACAAUGGGCGCAAGCCUGAUCCAGCCAUGCCGCGUGCGGGAAGAAGGCCUUCGGGUUGUAAACCGCUUUUGUCAGGGAAGAAACGCUCUGGGCUAAUACCCUGGGGUAAUGACGGUACCUGAAGAAUAAGCACCGGCUAACUACGUGCCAGCAGCCGCGGUAAUACGUAGGGUGCAAGCGUUAAUCGGAAUUACUGGGCGUAAAGCGUGCGCAGGCGGUUAUGCAAGACAGAUGUGAAAUCCCCGGGCUCAACCUGGGAACUGCAUUUGUGACUGUAUAGCUAGAGUACGGUAGAGGGGGAUGGAAUUCCGCGUGUAGCAGUGAAAUGCGUAGAUAUGCGGAGGAACACCGAUGGCGAAGGCAAUCCCCUGGACCUGUACUGACGCUCAUGCACGAAAGCGUGGGGAGCAAACAGGAUUAGAUACCCCCGUAGUCCCUGAGCGGGCUGGCAAGGCGCAU
rnacentral:rRNA from 1 species